ACAGAGACAAGAGAUAAAGAAGAAAUAUCAUUCUCUACACCUCAGACUGGCAGUGCCUGCUGACUAGACAACAGAUAGCUGAAGACAGAAGAAAAAGCAGGUAAAUAAUCCUGUUUGGCUCCAGGGAAAAGCUGCUUGAUGUGGAGGCAUAGCAAAGAUCAAAGUGAGCAGAUGGACACAAUCUGCUCAUUGGAGAGUACAUCCUGACUUUUGAGAAAUACACGUUGUGAUUUGGGAACACAGCACUCCAGCAAUAUGCCAGUCUAAGCUUCAGAAUGAUUCAAUGCUCUUAAAAGAGUGGAGCAGCAUGUCUUUGUCAGAUAAUUCAGAAACCAGAAUUACUGUUUUCGAGGGCAAAUAGUAAAGCUAAUUUAUUUAUUGAGAGACAAAUACAUACUCACUUGCACAACCAGAAAGAGAACAACAACCCAACAUAUUUACAGAGCCUACCUGGUGAAGUAAAUUUUUUACUAUCCUACUCUUUGAGGGAUUACCUC
rnacentral:lncRNA from 1 species